UGAUUUUUGAUAUUUCUAGCUACGGUUUGCCC
rnacentral:piRNA from 1 species